rnacentral:rRNA from 1 species
CCUACGGGAGGCAGCAGUGAGGAAUAUUGGUCAAUGGGCGGGAGCCUGAACCAGCCAAGCCGCGUGAGGGAAGAAGGUACAGCGUAUCGUAAACCUCUUUUGUCAGGGAACAAAGGCGGGGACUAGUCCCCGGAUGAGGGUACCUGAAGAAAAAGCAUCGGCUAACUCCGUGCCAGCAGCCGCGGUAAUACGGAGGAUGCGAGCGUUAUCCGGAUUUAUUGGGCGUAAAACGAGCGCAGGCGGGUUAACAAGUUUGGUAUGAAAGGCUUUUGCUUAACGAAAGUUUGUAUCAAAAACUGUUAAUCUAGAGUGUAGUAGAGAGUUCUGGAAUUCCAUGUGGAGCGGUGGAAUGCGUAGAUAUAUGGAAGAACACCAGUGGCGAAGGCGAGAACUUAGGCUAUCACUGACGCUUAGGCUCGAAAGUGUGGGGAGCAAAUAGGAUUAGAUACCCGGGUAGUC